rnacentral:sRNA from 1 species
UCGAAGCGAUGGAUCAACGCCUCGAGCCC